rnacentral:rRNA from 1 species
UACGUAGGGGGCGAGCGUUGUCCGAAUUCACUGGGCGUAAAGCGCGCGUAGGCGGACUUUUAAGUUGGGGGUGAAAUGCCGAGGCUCAACCUCGGAACUGCCUCCAAAACUGGGAGUCUUGAGGUAUGGAGAGGGAAGUGGAAUUCCAGGUGUAGCGGUGAUAUGCGUAGAUAUCUGGAGGAACACCCGUGGCGAAGGCGGCUUCCUGGUCAUAUCCUGACGCUGAGGUGAGAAAGCCAGGGGAGCGAACGGG